rnacentral:rRNA from 1 species
UACGUAGGGUGCAAGCGUUAUUCGGAAUUACUGGGCGUAAAGCGUGCGCAGGCGGCUUUGCAAGACAGGUGUGAAAUCCCCGGGCUCAACCUGGGAACUGCAUUUGUGACUGCAAGGCUAGAGUACGGUAGAGGGGGAUGGAAUUCCGCGUGUAGCAGUGAAAUGCGUAGAUAUGCGGAGGAACACCGAUGGCGAAGGCAGUCCCCUGGACCUGUACUGACGCUCAGGCACGACAGCGUGGGGAGCAAACAGG